AACGAACGCUGGCGGCAUGCCUAACACAUGCAAGUCGAACGAGACCUCCGGGUCUAGUGGCGCACGGGUGCGUAACGCGUGGGAACCUGCCCUUAGGUUCGGAAUAACUCCCCGAAAGGGGUGCUAAUACCGGAUAAUGUCUUCGGACCAAAGAUUUAUCGCCUUUGGAUGGGCCCGCGUUGGAUUAGCUAGUUGGUAGGGUAAAAGCCUACCAAGGCGACGAUCCAUAGCUGGUCUGAGAGGAUGAUCAGCCACACUGGGACUGAGACACGGCCCAGACUCCUACGGGAGGCAGCAGUGGGGAAUAUUGGACAAUGGGCGAAAGCCUGAUCCAGCAAGGCCGCGUGAGUGAUGAAGGCCUUAGGGUUGUAAAGCUCUUUUACCCGGGAUGAUAAUGACAGUACCGGGAGAAUAAGCUCCGGCUAACUCCGUG
rnacentral:rRNA from 1 species